UGGGAUAUAGUCAAGCGGUAAGACAACGGUCUCUGAAAUCGUGAUGCCUUGGUUCGAAUCCAAGUAUCCCAGCCA
rnacentral:tRNA from 1 species